rnacentral:rRNA from 1 species
GCCGUGACCACCGGCACCCGGUACCGCAGCGACAGGCCGAUGCAGGUCACGCCCAUCCCAAUGCCCAGCGCCCACAUCCAUGAGGCAAUCUCGGCCUGAUCGGCCCCCAGAUGCCGGGCCGCUUCGAACACGAUCACCGCCGAGCUGGCGAAGCCCACCAAUACAGUGACGAACCCUGCCGCGAUGGCAGGCAGGGACAGAUCGCGGAACAGGCUGCGUGCGGAGGACAUCGUCAUCCUUGCGGGAGGGAAGUGCAUUCUUACCGAGCACGCCGGCGUCUUGCAUCUCUCAGGAGGGUGCAUCUCUCUCUAUCGCGCGCACUCCCAGGAAUAACGUUGCACGACAAAGGGGCGCGCCAGUUGCCUGGCCAGCUGCAGUCACCAGUUGGUACAGCGCGUGGGAACACGCUAUCGACGGCCAUGCGGCCCGUCAGAUAAAGAGGGCGUCAAAAAAUGCUUGCACUUCUGCGCAGGCUCGAUAAACUGCGCGACCUCGCUCAGGACGGCGGCGCUUCUCGAAGCACCGCAGCAACGAACGGGGCGAAUCGGAGACACCAGAAGGUGUUGACGAAACGGAAAAGCCGGCUAUGAUGGGCGGCUCGCUACACGGAAAGACGCUACGGCGGAUUGAGGUGCAGCGGCGGCAACUUCCUCUUCACGANCAUCGCGACUUACCAAACCAUUGCAAACUCCGAAUACCAGUACGUACUAUCCGGGAGACACACGGCGGGUGCUAACGUCCGUCGUGAAAAGGGAAACAACCCAGACCCACAGCUAAGGUCCCAAAUUCACUGCUAAGUGGAAAACGAUGUGGAAAGGCAUAGACAGCCAGGAGGUUGGCUUAGAAGCAGCCACCCUUUAAAGAAAGCGNCCCAAAUUCACUGCUAAGUGGAAAACGAUGUGGAAAGGCAUAGACAGCCAGGAGGUUGGCUUAGAAGCAGCCACCCUUUAAAGAAAGCGUAAUAGCUCACUGGUCGAGUCGGUCUGCGCGGAAGAUUUAACGGGGCUAAGCAGUGAACCGAAGCUUGGGGUGCAUAAAACUUCGGUUUUAUGCGCGGUAGAGGAGCGUUCCGUAAGCCUGCGAAGGUGGAUUGAGAAGUCUGCUGGAGGUAUCGGAAGUGCGAAUGCUGACAUGAGUAACGAUAAUGCGGGUGAAAACCCCGCACGCCGAAAGCCCAAGGUUUCCUUGCGCAACGUUAAUCGACGCAGGGUUAGUCGGUCCCUAAGGCGAGGGCGAAAGCCGUAGUCGAUGGGAAGCAGGUUAAUAUUCCUGCACCUCGCGUGAGUGCGAUGGAGGGACGGAGAAGGUUAGGUGUACCGGGCGUUGGUUGUCCCGGGGAAAGGCGGUAGGUUUGGAUCUUUGGCAAAUCCGGGAUCCUUUAAGACCGAGCACCGAGACGAGCCUUUAUGGCGAAGUCACUGAUACCACGCUUCCAGGAAAAGCUCCUAAGCUUCAGCUCACGAAGACCGUACCGUAAACCGACACAGGUGGGUAGGAUGAGAAUUCUCAGGCGCUUGAGAGAACUCGGGUGAAGGAACUAGGCAACAUGGCACCGUAACUUCGGGAGAAGGUGCACCCUUUUUGGUGGCUCAUGCGAGCUAUAGCUGAAGAGGGUCGCAGAAACCAGGCCGCUGCGACUGUUUAUCAAAAACACAGCACUCUGCAAACACGAAAGUGGACGUAUAGGGUGUGACGCCUGCCCGGUGCUGGAAGGUUAAUUGAUGGGGUCAGCCGCAAGGCGAAGCUCUUGAUCGAAGCCCCAGUAAACGGCGGCCGUAACUAUAACGGUCCUAAGGUAGCGAAAUUCCUUGUCGGGUAAGUUCCGACCUGCACGAAUGGCGUAACGACAGCGGCGCUGUCUCCACCCGAGACUCAGUGAAAUUGAAAUCGCUGUGAAGAUGCAGCGUUCCCGUGGCAAGACGGAAAGACCCCGUGAACCUUUACUAUAGCUUUACACUGAACGUUGAGUUCGUCUGUGUAGGAUAGGUGGGAGGCUAUGAAACUGUGGCGCUAGCUGCAGUGGAGCCAACCUUGAAAUACCACCCUGUCGUGCUUGACGUUCUAACCUAGAUCCGUUAUCCGGAUCAGGGACCGUGUAUGGUGGGUAGUUUGACUGGGGCGGUCUCCUCCUAAAGAGUAACGGAGGAGCACGAAGGUACGCUCAGCGCGGUCGGACAUCGCGCACUGUGUGCAAAGGCAUAAGCGUGCUUGACUGCAAGAUCGACGGAUCAAGCAGGUACGAAAGUAGGUCUUAGUGAUCCGGUGGUUCUGUAUGGAAGGGCCAUCGCUCAACGGAUAAAAGGUACUCCGGGGAUAACAGGCUGAUACCGCCCAAGAGUUCAUAUCGACGGCGGUGUUUGGCACCUCGAUGUCGGCUCAUCACAUCCUGGGGCUGUAGUCGGUCCCAAGGGUAUGGCUGUUCGCCAUUUAAAGUGGUACGCGAGCUGGGUUCAGAACGUCGUGAGACAGUUCGGUCCCUAUCUGCCAUGGGCGUUGGAAGUUUGAGAGGGGCUGCUCCUAGUACGAGAGGACCGGAGUGGACGAACCUCUGGUGUUCCGGUUGUCACGCCAGUGGCAUUGCCGGGUAGCUAUGUUCGGAAGCGAUAACCGCUGAAAGCAUCUAAGCGGGAAGCGCGCCUCAAGAUGAGACUUCCCGGGGCACAAGCCCCCUAAAGGAACCAUAUAGACUAUGUGGUUGAUAGGUCAGGUGUGUAAGUACAGCAAUGUAUUGAGCUAACUGAUACUAAUGAUCCGUGCGGCUUGACC